rnacentral:rRNA from 1 species
GAUUAAGUUAUUAAGGGCGCACGGUGGAUGCCUUGGCACUAGAAGCCGAUGAAGGACGUUACUAACGACGAUAUGCUUUGGGGAGCUGUAAGUAAGCUUUGAUCCAGAGAUUUCCGAAUGGGGAAACCCAGCAUGAGUUAUGUCAUGUUAUCGAUAUGUGAAUACAUAGCAUAUCAGAAGGCACACCCGGAGAACUGAAACAUCUUAGUACCCGGAGGAAGAGAAAGAAAAUUCGAUUCCCUUAGUAGCGGCGAGCGAAACGGGAAGAGCCCAAACCAACAAGCUUGCUUGUUGGGGUUGUAGGACACUCUAUACGGAGUUACAAAGGACGACAUUAGACGAAUCAUCUGGAAAGAUGAAUCAAAGAAGGUAAUAAUCCUGUAGUCGAAAAUGUUGUCUCUCUUGAGUGGAUCCUGAGUACGACGGAGCACGUGAAAUUCCGU